UGAGUGGCGACGGGUGAGUAACGCGUGGGCAACCGUGCCCUGUACAGGGGGACAACACUUAGAAAUAGGUGCUAAUACCGCAUAACGGGGGGAGCCGCAUGGCACCCCCUGAAAACUCCGGUGGUACAGGAUGGGCCCGCGUCUGAUUAGCUGGUUGGCAGGGGUAACGGCCUACCAAGGCGACGAUCAGUAGCCGGCCUGAGAGGGCGGACGGCCACACUGGGACUGAGACACGGCCCAGACUCCUACGGAAGGCAGCAG
rnacentral:rRNA from 1 species